rnacentral:rRNA from 1 species
UACGUAGGGUGCGAGCGUUAAUCGGAAUUACUGGGCGUAAAGGGCGCGUAGGCGGCCUUCUAAGUCGAACGUGAAAUCCCCGGGCUCAACCCGGGAACUGCGUCCGAUACUGGAUGGCUUGAGUUCGGGAGAGGGAUGCGGAAUUCCAGGUGUAGCGGUGAAAUGCGUAGAUAUCUGGAGGAACACCGGUGGCGAAGGCGGCAUCCUGGACCAACACUGACGCUGAGGAGCGAAAGCCAGGGGAGCAAACGGG